UUGAACUCCUUUGAUGAAGGCUCUUGUUGGCACCAUAAAUUGGCUUUGCUUCACACUGUCUUGAUCAAGAGUGUGUGAAGCUUUUGAGAAUUGUGGUUGCCCUCCAUUGAUGAAGCUCUUGUUGGCACCAUAAAUUGGUUUUGCUUCACACUGUCUUGAUAAAGAGUGUGUGAAGCUUUUGAGAAUUGUGGUUGAACUCCUUUGAUGAAGCUCUUGUUGGCACCAUAAAUUGGUUUUGCUUCACACUGUCUUGAUCAAGAGUGUGUGAAGCUUUUGAGAAUUGUGGUUGCCCUACAUUUAUGAAGCUUUUGUUAGCACUAUAAAUUGGUUUUGCUUCACACUGUCUUGAUCAAGAGUGUGUGAAGCUUUUGAGAAUUGUGGUUGCCCUCCAUUGAUGAAGCUCUUGUUGGCACCAUAAAUUGGUUUUACUUCACACUGUCUUAAUCAAGAGUGUGUGAAGCUUUCUACGAGUUGUAGUGUUUGCAUUGUUAUAGAGGGGAAAUGUUUGAAGUAGAUGCAAGAGGGCUGAAUAGCUUGAUCUUCGUAUGCCAUCCACUGAAGUUGUUGUUGGCUUGCAAUAAAACUUUGUUGGUGACUAUAACUCUUGUUGGGCAUAAGUGCUCCCCUAGUUGAGUUGUCAUGCUUGAGGGUUUUUGAUUAUUUGUGAAUGUGAUAGGAGCAUAUUUAUGCGCCUUAGUUAGCUAGUUCUUAUGCAUCUUUGUUAUGUUUUCUUCGUUAAAGUAGUCUUUUAAGCUACUUUCUUGUGUUUUCAGGUUUAGCGGACGUAUUACAUGAAAUGAUGCAAUUUGGAGCUUUUGGAGCAGAAAGUGAGCUUGAAGUGAAAAGGACAUGCUUGGAACGCAAGGUUGGGAUGAAAUUGAAGAGUUGGAGAUUUGAGGUUUCCUACUUGAAGUAGGAAAGCUAAGCCUAAAAGUUUCCAUUUUGGGUUGAUCUUUCCUAAAUCGGAAUUGGCAACCAAAGUUUCUAAAGUUGGAAGUUUCUAUUCUUGGAGGUUUCCAUUUUCGUGAGUUUCUAUUCUCGGUUUUUGGGCUUUUGGAUGACCCAUCCUUAACUCUUGGACCUAUGCCGUACCUAAACCCUAACCCUAGCCCAUUGUUUCAGCCGCACCUAGGCCUUGUUCACAUGCAAAAAUCUGAUUGGAAAUCCCUAAGCCUAUGCCGCACCUUUCCAUCCAAAAAGCCCUAUUUUACAAACCUUAACCCUAGCCCAUUGUUCUAAUCUGAAUUGCUAGGGUUUUUAAGUGCCUAUAUAUAUAUAUUUCUACACCCUAGCCGCACAUAUUCUUCCCUCUCCAUAAAAUCAGAAAAUCAUCUUCCCCUUUGCCUCACUGCCGCAGCCACCAUCACCCAAAACCACCCUUUGCCGCAGCCAUUCAUCCAUUCCAGCCACCAUCCUCCACCUUUAGACACCAUUCCACACCUCCAUAACCCUUUCCCACACCUUGCCGCACCACCCUACCAUCCUAACUCCCUUCUAAAAAACCAAAAACACAACCAGCAACUCCAUUCACGCCAGAACCUGUCCCUCACCUUUGCCGAGCCAAACCUUCACCCAACUCCAUAUUUUCUGACCCCAAACCUUCCUAGCCGUGCCCUACACCCAGCCUAGACAUUUUCCACCAUUCUUCCUCGUCCAAAAUCAUCCAAAACUACCCAAAAACCCCCAAAACCAUCUCUGCCGCAGCAAGGAGAAGAAGAAAGAGGAGCUUUCUGUGCAGAUUUCAAAGUGGACUUCUUUGGCAUUUUAGGUGUAAUCUUUCUUAUGUCUUCGAUGUUUCAAUUCAAUAAACUUGUGUUUGUGAGUAUGAGGAAACUAAACCCCUUAGUUGGGGGUGAUUCGAAACCAUGUACAUGCUUGCAAUUUGAUUCGAUUACAUUCAGUUGUUAUUUCAUGAGUUAUGAAUUCAAUUCGUUCAUCUAUUUGAUUGAUAACUUAUUUGUGUAUGUUGAUUGAGAGUGCACGCUUAAUUUUCAUGCAUGAAUAUGAUGCUAGAUUAUGAGGGAGUUUCACCUAAUAGUUACAAUCUUAUAAUCACAAGUAGUUGAAGAUCGCUUGAAACGAUCGCGUUGAAUGAAUUCUUAGCAUAAGUUUCAUGCAAUUCAUAGUAACAAAUGCUUCGUCAAUGCUUAUGUUUUUCAUAGAACGUAAUGAUUCUUGCUUGUAUCUCUAUUAUGCAAUUCAUGUAGGGAACUUGUAGGGAAUGUUUUGAGUUGUCGUAUGCAAUCAUCCAACUUGAUAAAUUCUGGAAAAAACUGAGGGUUAAUUUAGUGCAAUUCACGGUUAACUUGGGGCGUUGAGUAUUCAUAGUUUAUCGGAAGAACAACUGAAAAUCGUUUUGUUUGCAAGUGUGACAUGUGUGGAGAAGAACCUCCUAACUAGCCUUUUAACCAUCCCUUUCACCAAAAUCGUUUUUACAAUCUGUGUUAAUUAAAGUUUCUGUUUUGUUUUCAAUUUUCUGUCCAAAACUAAAUCCCCUUUUACUUUGAAGUCUUAGAUUAGUUAGAAUAUGUUUUGAUUUGUGUUUCUAGGUAUUUUGAUUCAAGUUUUCAUCAAAUUUCAUCCAAAUUAGUGUAGGUGCUCAAAACUGCCCAGAAAGUGGUUUUUAGGCAGUUUUGAGCCUUCUAGUUGCUGUUUUAAGUUUUAGGUUUGUUUAAGUGUUUUAACUUUUAGUCUUGCAUUCUUUGAGUCUAGUUUAGUGUUUUUAACUUUGUUUUUGAGUGUUUAAGUCAGUUCCAAGCGUUUAGCAAUCCCUCCUAAUCCCCGGUCUAGAACGAUCCCUACUUACAUCUUUACUACAAUUUGACAAAAAGAGGGUUUAAUUUGUGUGCUUAAUCUAUUUCGCAUCAAAUUUUUGGCGCCGUUGCCGGGGAUUAGCAAUUUUGCUAAUCCCUUGGAUUGUUUUUGUUCCUUUUAUUUCACUUUGUUUCUGACUUUGUUUAAGUUUCUGACCUAAUUUUGUUUCUUGUUUCUUAGGUACUAAUGUAUGACUAGAAGCUCUCAACCGAUUCGUGCAAACAUCUUGGAUUUUGACGACGAUUUUGAGAGGAAGUUAAGAAGAGCUAGAAACCAGCAAGAACACCAUUCACCCAAUUCCGAAUCUGACCUUGAAGAAAACGUACAAGAAGAGGAGGAAGAAGCCACGGCAGGGAUAUUUGAAGAAGUCCAAGGCAUGGCCAUGGACAAUCGUACACUCAAGGAGCUUUCCGCCUCAGGUUUGGACAAUGCCGCACCCUUGUGCAUUCAAUACCCUAGGGCUGCCCAAGGUAAGACGGAUGAGUUUGAAUUAAAGUCAAGUUUGCUUCAUCAUAUUCCUAAAUACCAUGGCUUGUCCAUGGAAGAUCCUAACAAACAUUUGAAAGAAUUUGAAGUAGUUUGCUCUAGUAUGACUCCCGUCAAUGUUGACGGAAAUAUAUUGAAGAUGAAGGCUUUUCCAUUCUCUUUGAUGGAUAAAGCCAAGGAUUGGUUAUAUGAGUUAGCUCCCGGCACUGUCACAUCAUGGGAGAGUAUGAAGAGAGCGUUCUUGGAGAAGUUCUUUCCAACUUCUCGCAUCAUCCUCCUCCGCAAAAAGAUAAGCGGAAUUCAGCAAGAAGAAGGUGAGUCUUUUCCUACAUAUUAUGAACGAUUUAAAUCACUUGUUGCUUCUUGUCCACAGCAUCAGAUGAAGGAGGAGUUACUGUUGCAAUACUUCUACGAGGGUCUCCUACCUCUAGAACGUCAAAUGCUUGAUGCUUCUGCGGGGGGAGCAUUGGUGGACAAAACACCCAUGGCUGCCAAGGUCUUGAUUGCCAAUAGAGCAUUGAACGCUCAACAGUACGAGGGUGUAGGCCAAAGAGGACCCCCACGGCACCAAGUACAUGAGGUAAGUUCAACUCCUGAUCUUCAUUCACAAUUGGCUAAUCUUACUUCUCUUGUGUCUCAGAUGGCCGAGGGCAUGAAGAUGCAAGGACCAAUUGUAUGUGGCGUAUGUUCCAUCCAAGGACAUGUCUCUGAAAAAUGUCCACAGUUGAUUGAAAAUGGUGGAUGGGAAAGCGCCCAUGCAGUUGGGUUUCAAGGGCAAAACCAACCAAGGAACGAUCCAUAUUCAAACACAUAUAAUCCCGGUUGGAGAGAUCACCCAAAUUUCAAGUGGAGGGAGCCCCAACAACCUCAAAACCAAGGAGGCUUUAGGCAACAACCCCCCGGGGUUCUUUCCCAAAACUUACGGCCCACCCCAAAAUCAAGCCCAAUCCGGCCCAAGUGCCUCAGGUACGUCUCUUGACAAUGAUGCACUUCUUAAGAUACUAACUAAGUUGUCUAAUGGGCAGGAAGAUCAAGCUAAAGCUAUACAAAUCCAAGACAAAAGGGUGGAUCAACUUGAGAAACAAAUUGGGCAGAUUGCCGAGUUUGUUGGGCAGUUUAGAGAACAAGGAAAGCUUCCUAGUUCAACCAUUGCGAAUCCAAAAGGAGGCUUUGAAACCGCAAAUGCAAUCAUGCUAAGGAGUGGAAAAGAAGUUGGGGCAGGUUCUACACCACCAAAAUCAGGUCCCAAAGAGGAUGAAAUGUUGAAAUCUGAAGAGGAGACACCAAGUCCACUCACGGCAAAGGUAGCACCACCUUUGCCGCAAGCAACCAUUGAUCCUAAGUCCUCCAAUCCGUCCACCCUAGGUAAGAAAGGUCCAAGUUCAGUUAAUUCUAACAUUAUUCCACCCAAUGUGCCCUUUCCUAGCAGAUUUUUGCAAUCCAAGAAUGAAGAGGAGGAAAAAGAUGUUCUAGAGACAUUUAGGAAAGUUCAAGUUAACAUACCUCUUUUGGAUGCAAUCAAGCAAAUCCCGAAGUAUGCCAAGUUCUUGAAGAAGCUUUGUACAACGAGGAAGCGGAUUCGGGAGAAGGAGGUGGUACAUGUAAGCGAGAAUGUCUCUGCAAUGUUGCAAAGGAAGCUACCACCUAAAUGCAAAGAUCCAGGUAGUUUCACAAUCCCUUGUGUAAUUGGUAAUACAAGAUUUGAACAUGCUAUGCUAGAUCUAGGUGCAUCAAUUAAUGUCAUGCCAUAUUCUGUUUAUGCAUCUAUGAAUCUAGGAAAACUUAAAAAUGAUGGCGUUAUAAUUCAAUUAGCCGAUCGAUCUAAUGCAUAUCCCAAGGGAGUGUUGGAAGAUGUUUUGGUGCAGGUAGACCAUUUGAUUUUUCCUGCAGAUUUCUAUGUGCUUGAUAUGGAGGACUCAACCCACUCUCCACCAUCACCACUCUUGCUUGGACGACCAUUCAUGAAAACGGCUCAAACCAAGAUUGAUGUGGCCAAGGGAGCCGUAACUAUGGCCUUUGGUGGUGAUAUGAUUAACUUUAAGAUUCCUGAAUCAAUUGAGAAUACUAAUGAUGUUCGUUCUUGUUGUGCCAUUAAUGUAAUUGAAAAUAUAGGGCAGGAAUGUUCAACACUAGUCAAGAAGAAUGCACCUCGAACUACCAUCGCGGAGGGAAUUGGAGUGAGCAACAAAGAAUGCACGGCCUCAACCUUGAAAUCACCAAAUUUGCCCGAGUGCAACCUUUGUGCAUCUGUCCAUUGUACUCCCACUCCUAUGCCGCACCUAGGUAAGCCACCUGAUCCAAUUUCAAUUUCCAUUUCAACUAAUCGGUUGUUACCUUGUAUGGUGCAGGUACCUAAUCAAAGGCAAUAUGGUGGGAGAGUUCGUGUUGAUUUAGAGAAGCACAACACGACACUACGAAAGGAUCAUUAUCCCAUUCCAUUCAAGGACCCAAUGCAUGAAGUGGUUCGAAGGACAAGGUGUAGAGGAAACACCCCUCCAUGCCGUGGGGUUCAAUAACCUUCAAAGGAGCUUCGUCCGGCUGCAAGACGUAAAAGAAAGCGCUACUUGGGAGGCAACCCAUGCAAUUCAACAAAGGGAAGAGUUUAACAUGAACCUCGAGGAAGCAGGAAGUCAAAGGAGAUUGCAAUUGAAUGAGCUUGAUGAGAUACGGCUUGAGGCGUAUGAUAAUGCAAGCAUUUACAAGCAAAAGACCAAAGCUUUCCAUGACAACAUGAUCCGUGGGAAAUCAUUCUCAAUUGGGCAGAAAGUGCUAUUGUUCAAUUCCCGUUUACGUUUGUUUCCCGGUAAGUUACGUUCUAAGUGGAUUGGACCGUUUGUUAUUACUAACAUAUCUUCUUAUGGUGCCAUCCAGAUUCAAAGUCUCAAAACAGGUCAUGAAUUCCAAGUGAACGGACACCGUUUGAAGCCAUAUUAUGAGAACUUUGUUGAACAAACCGUGGAUGAUAUUUCUUUGGGUGCCGUGGGCACAAAUGGAGAAUGAAUGGGUUUUUCGUCUGGCUGUACGACGUAAAAGAAAGCGCUACUUGGGAGGCAACCCAUGCAAUUCAACAAAGGAAGACCAAGAAAUUACUUCAAUUCCAGAUUUGCGUUCCUAAACUCUUCCCUUUGUUAUUUAGUUUGAAUCUGCCUAUUUAGUUGUUUUAGUUGCUGUUUGUGUGGUUCUUUUUGUUUAGUGUGAUUUCAUGCUUGAAACAUUGAGGACAAUGUUUGAUUUAAGUGUGGGGGGGUAACUAAGUGUUUUAGAUGCAAAUUCGUGGGAUUUUAUCACCCUAAACUUGAAGACUUGUUCCUUGCUGUUUUUAAGUGUUUUUGAGCAGUUUUGAUGUGUUUUAGUGUGUUUUGAAGUAAAAAUCCGAAAAUUACAUAAAAAUUUGAAAAAUUUGUUUUAAAAACCCAAAAAGAGUUGUUUUUGUGUGUUUGUUUGUGUUUUAGGGUACCUUCCAACACAAUGAUGAGGAUUCGGUUUGUAAUUACAUGGCUGUUAAAGAAAGUGACUAACAUGGAUGAAAGUUUGAUUUACUCUUUGUUUAUGCUUAGUUGUGGUUAUAACUUAUGAAUUCACAUGCAAUCAUAAAAGAAAAAAAUCAGUUUUUGUAACAUGUUUGAAGGAAGGAACUUAAACUAACGCUACAACCUUGUGAGACUUGAGCCUAACGUUUAUUUGGAGAGUGAAAAUCUGUGCAUUCUUUGUUUUCUAAGUCGUUGCAUGAUCUCAUUAUUCUUUGCUUGGUUGCUACUUAGAAGGCGUUUCAUCAUUUAGUUCCAAAUGCUAGAACUCAUGCCCAUUUCAUUCAAAGCAUGUUAUUGAUUUGCAUAACACAUAUUCAAGAUGAAGUUGUGUAGUGACCACCACCCUAGCCAAAAAGCCAUGAAUCCCCUAUGUCAUUAUGUUUUGUAGGUUUUUAACCCCAUUGAGCCUUGUUAGCCUUCGUUAAUUGUUAACCCAUGUUCUCCUCACCUAGCCUAGAUUAGGACCAUCCAUACCUUGUUCUUAAAGCAUAGUAAAGCAUGAUUCAAAUUGAAUUCCCUUUUGAUUUAUGUUGGCAGAAAAUAAGUGUGGGGGAAGUGUUUUUCAUGAGGAAGUGUGUGCCAUAGGCACGGCAAAGAAAAGAAAAGAAAAAAAAUUGUGGAAAAAGAAAAAAAAAAUGAAGAAAAGUUGAGAAAAAGAGUUCCAAAGUAUUGUUUGUUGAAGUAAGGGUCCAAAACAAUGAAUUCGGCCCUAAGGAGUUGUUUAAAUCUUUCCCUUGUGUUUUAAAGUUAAUUUCUGCACUCUAAGUGAAUUCUAAGUCUCAAUUUCAUUGCUUUGCUUACUAUUGCUUGAAGAACGUUUGUUUUCCUUAUCCUUUCCUUGUUAACCAACACCCCAAGCCCCAUUACAACCCUUAACUUCUAUCUUGAAUGUUAUGUGUUUCAAUUUGUGGAGUUUGAAUUUGGUAUGAGCAUAUGGUGUCACUGGUUCUCGCAUCUAAGUAGUAGCAUUCCAUUCAUGAGAUCAUAUCUAAACAUGCUUCUUAACUCUAGAAAUUACGUUCUUUGUGAUACAUAUAUGUGAGCAUUCGUUUUCAUAUCUACAUCAAUCUUCUCACAUAUGACUAGUGUAGGGUGUGGAGUUAGAAAAUCUGAGUGAAAAUAGAGUGUAUAUCUUGUAAGGAAUUGAGGGAAUUCUCUAAGGCAUGUUACUACAUUCAAAGCAUUGUUUUGAUUGAUUACUUGUGAAUUAGUAAGUGGUGGCUUUAAUUAAGUAUGUGCUUGUGUAAAGAUGACUCAAAUUUGUGGGGAUAACAAUCUUUAACAUGUCGUGUGCAUUGGAAAUCCCUGAGGCAAACGUUGGAAGGUUUAGGUUUUGUUUUGGUUAGUUGGUUUCGUUCUGUUUCCUUUCUUUUGUUUGUUUUGCUCGAGGACUAGCAAAAGCUAAGUGUGGGGGAAUUUGAUAGGAGCAUAUUUAUGCGCCUUAGUUAGCUAGUUCUUAUGCAUCUUUGUUAUGUUUUCUUCGUUAAAGUAGUCUUUUAAGCUACUUUCUUGUGUUUUCAGGUUUAGCGGACGUAUUACAUGAAAUGAUGCAAUUUGGAGCUUUUGGAGCAGAAAGUGAGCUUGAAGUGAAAAGGACAUGCUUGGAACGCAAGGUUGGGAUGAAAUUGAAGAGUUGGAGAUUUGAGGUUUCCUACUUGAAGUAGGAAAGCUAAGCCUAAAAGUUUCCAUUUUGGGUUGAUCUUUCCUAAAUCGGAAUUGGCAACCAAAGUUUCUAAAGUUGGAAGUUUCUAUUCUUGGAGGUUUCCAUUUUCGUGAGUUUCUAUUCUCGGUUUUGGGCUUUUGGAUGACCCAUCCUUAACUCUUGGACCUAUGCCGUACCUAAACCCUAACCCUAGCCCAUUGUUUCAGCCGCACCUAGGCCUUGUUCACAUGCAAAAAUCUGAUUGGAAAUCCCUAAGCCUAUGCCGCACCUUUCCAUCCAAAAAGCCCUAUUUUACAAACCUUAACCCUAGCCCAUUGUUCUAAUCUGAAUUGCUAGGGUUUUUAAGUGCCUAUAUAUAUAUAUUUCUACACCCUAGCCGCACAUAUUCUUCCCUCUCCAUAAAAUCAGAAAAUCAUCUUCCCCUUUGCCUCACUGCCGCAGCCACCAUCACCCAAAACCACCCUUUGCCGCAGCCAUUCAUCCAUUCCAGCCACCAUCCUCCACCUUUAGACACCAUUCCACACCUCCAUAACCCUUUCCCACACCUUGCCGCACCACCCUACCAUCCUAACUCCCUUCUAAAAAACCAAAAACACAACCAGCAACUCCAUUCACGCCAGAACCUGUCCCUCACCUUUGCCGAGCCAAACCUUCACCCAACUCCAUAUUUUCUGACCCCAAACCUUCCUAGCCGUGCCCUACACCCAGCCUAGACAUUUUCCACCAUUCUUCCUCGUCCAAAAUCAUCCAAAACUACCCAAAAACCCCCAAAACCAUCUCUGCCGCAGCAAGGAGAAGAAGAAAGAGGAGCUUUCUGUGCAGAUUUCAAAGUGGACUUCUUUGGCAUUUU
rnacentral:lncRNA from 1 species